GACGUAGGGCGCGAGCGUUGUCCGGAUUUAUUGGGCGUAAAGAGCUCGUAGGCGGCUUGUCGCGUCGGCUGUGAAAACCCGCGGCUCAACUGUGGGCGGGCAGCUGAUACGGGCAGGCUGGAGUUCGGUAGGGGAGACUGGAAUUCCCGGUGUAGCGGUGAAAUGCGCAGAUAUCGGGAAGAACACCCGUGGCGAAGGCGGCUCUCUGGAACGCAACUGACGCUGAGACGCGAAAGCGUGGGGAGCAAACAGG
rnacentral:rRNA from 1 species